rnacentral:rRNA from 1 species
UCCCUAUGGGGUGCAGCAGGCGCGAAAACUUUACAAUGCAGGAAACUGUGAUAAGGGAACCCCGAGUGCCCGUAUACGCGGGCUGUCCAGGUGUCUAAAACGCAUCUGAAGAAAGGGCCGGGCAAGACCGGUGCCAGCCGCCGCGGUAAUACCGGCGGCUCGAGUGGUGGCCACUUUUAUUGGGCUUAAAGCGUCCGUAGCUGGACCCUUAAGUCUCUUGGGAAAUCCGCCGGCUUAACCGGCGGGCGUCUAAGAGAUACUGGGGGUCUAGGGACCGGGAGAGGUGAGAGGUACUCCGGGGGUAGGAGUGAAAUCCUGUAAUCCCCGGGGGACCACCGAUGGCGAAGGCAUCUCACCAGAACGGCUCCGACAGUGAGGGACGAAAGCUGGGGGAGCGAACCGGAUUAGAUACCCGGGUAGUCCCAGCCGUAAACUAUGCGCGUUAGGUGUACUGGUGACCACGAGCCACUGGGGUGCCGAAGGGAAACCGUGAAACGUGCCGCCUGGGAAGUACGGUCGCAAGGCUGAAACUUAAAGGAAUUGGCGGGGGAGCACCACAACGGGUUGAUCCUGCCGGAAAUUGGAUUCAACGCCGGAA